rnacentral:rRNA from 1 species
GACGAACGCUGGCGGCGUGCUUAACACAUGCAAGUCGAACGGAAAGGCCCUUCUUUUGUGGGGUGCUCGAGUGGCGAACGGGUGAGUAACACGUGAGUAACCUGCCCUUGACUUUGGGAUAACUUCAGGAAACUGGGGCUAAUACCGGAUAGGAGCUCCUGCUGCAUGGUGGGGGUUUGAAAGUUUCGGCGGUUGGGGAUGGACUCGCGGCUUAUCAGCUUGUUGGUGGGGUAGUGGCUUACCAAGGCUUUGACGGGUAGCCGGCCUGAGAGGGUGACCGGCCACAUGGGGACUGAGAUACGGCCCAGACUCCUACGGGAGGCAGCAGUGGGGAAUAUUGCACAAUGGGCGGAAGCCUGAUGCAGCAACGCCGCGUGCGGGAUGACGGCCUUCGGGUUGUAAACCGCUUUCGCCUGUGACGAAGCGUGAGUGACGGUAAUGGGUAAAGAAGCACCGGCUAACUACGUG